rnacentral:rRNA from 1 species
AUUGAACGCUGGCGGCAUGCCUUACACAUGCAAGUCGAACGGCAGCAUGGGUGCUUGCACCUGAUGGCGAGUGGCGAACGGGUGAGUAAUGCAUCGGAACGUACCCGGAAGUGGGGGAUAACGUAGCGAAAGUUACGCUAAUACCGCAUAUUCUGUGAGCAGGAAAGUGGGGGAUCGCAAGACCUCGCGCUUCCGGAGCGGCCGAUGUCGGAUUAGCUAGUUGGUGGGGUAAAGGCCCACCAAGGCAACGAUCCGUAGCGGGUCUGAGAGGAUGCGCAGGCACACUGGGACUGAGACACGGCCCAGACGCCGACGGGAGUCAGCAGUGGGGAAUUUUGGACAAGGGGGGCAACCCUGAUCCAGCCAUGCCGCGUGAGUGAAGAAGGCCUUCGGGUUGUAAAGCUCUUUCGGCCGGGAAGAAAUCGCACAGGCUAAUACCUUGUGUGGAUGACGGUACCGGAAUAAGAAGCACCGGCUAACUACGUGCCAGCCGCCGCAGUAACAC